rnacentral:rRNA from 1 species
CAACCCGUCUCUGUUGCAAAAGAGUGGGAAGAUUUUUAAGUAGAGGUGACAAGCCUAUCGAACUUAGAGAUAGCUGGUUGUUCAGGAAAAGAGUUUCAGCUCUACCUUAAGUUUUUUUAUUAAUCUAAACAAACCUCCAGACUUAAGAGCUAUUCAAGUAAGGCACAACUUACCUGAAACAGGAUACAACCUCACUUAUAGGGUAAACAAGAACAAACCAAACAAAGUAGGCCUAAAAGCAGCCAUCUCAUAAAAAGCGUUAAAGCUUAACUUCUAAGUAUUUAUAAUUCCAAUAACUCUUAUUAACCCCUCGCCACUACUGAACAAUUUUAUAAUUCUAUAAAAACUAUUAUGCUAGAACUAGUAACAAGAAACUGCCUUUCUCCUAAAUGUAAGUUUACACCACAUCGGACUGUCCACUGGUAUUUAACGUAACUGUCCCUAUUAUAGCAACACUCAACCAGAAAACCCUAUAAACACCAACGUUAACCUCACACUAGAACAUUUUAGGAAAGAUUAAAAGAAAGAGAAGGAACUCGGCAAACCUUAGCCCCGCCUGUUUACCAAAAACAUCGCCUCUUGCCUAAUAUAAGAGGUCCAGCCUGCCCAGUGACAUAGUUUAACGGCCGCGGUACCCUAACCGUGCGAAGGUAGCAUAAUCACUUGUUCCUUAAAUAGGGACUAGUAUCAACGGCAUCACGAGGGCUACACUGUCUCCUCUCUCUAAUCAGUGAAACUGAUCUCUCCGUGAAGAAGCGGAGAUUUUUAUAUAAGACGAGAAGACCCCAUGGAGCUUAAAACUCAACAUACACCUCUAUUUUUCUACACCAAUUAACCGCAAGAGUCUGUAUAUUAGUUUUAGGUUGGGGGGACCGCGGAGUAAAACUCAACCUCCACGACAAACGGGCCAACGCCCUUAUCCAUGAAACACAAUUCUAAGAAUCAACAAUCUGAUGUUUUAUGACCCGAUAAGUCGAUCAACGAACCAAGUUACCCUGGGGAUAACAGCGCAAUCUA